AACGAACGCUGGCGGCAUGCCUAACACAUGCAAGUCGAACGAACCCUUCGGGGUUAGUGGCGCACGGGUGCGUAACACGUGGGAAUCUGCCCUUUGCUUCGGAAUAACAGUUAGAAAUGACUGCUAAUACCGGAUAAUGUCUUCGGACCAAAGAUUUAUCGGCAAAGGAUGAGCCCGCGUAGGAUUAGCUUGUUGGUGAGGUAAAGGCUCACCAAGGCGACGAUCCUUAGCUGGUCUGAGAGGAUGAUCAGCCACACUGGGGCUGAGACACGGCCCAGACUCCUACGGGAGGCAGCAGUGGGGAAUAUUGGACAAUGGGCGAAAGCCUGAUCCAGCAAUGCCGCGUGAGUGAUGAAGGCCUUAGGGUUGUAAAGCUCUUUUACCAGGGAUGAUAAUGACAGUACCUGGAGAAUAAGCUCCGGCUAACUCCGUG
rnacentral:rRNA from 1 species